AUUUUCCCGCGCCACUUCCACAGUUGCACUUAUGGCGGUAAAACGAGGACGUGUUUUCUGAUUGUUUGUUUUUUAGGUUCUUUGUCUGCUGUUAGGUCAGGGCUUUUGCAAUGAUUAGCGGUGUGAAGGACAUGUCAAUUGUCUAGGUCGUUGGGGAACUGCCACUGAUAUGUGGUAAGGAGGUCCACAUGGUUGUGGAUGAGACCCAGUCACUAGACGAGGCCUUUUCUGCUGACCAGGUGUCAAAUGGGGUUCCCUUGGUGCCAGCCUAUAGGACAUACUUUGGGAAUGGGAAGAUCUUCAGUUUCCAGAGUUGGACCAGUGGAGGUUCUGCUACCAGAUAUAGUUCUUUCCAAGGUUGCAUGUUGACUGCAACAGACUACUAACACAGGUGUUGGAUGCCACAGCUGACACUGCUCUAAAGAGUGAUCUGCAGUUGGGAGAGCUGAUAGUUUGUUUUCAGUUUUGUACAUAUUUUAAUGUUAUGACAUGUUUUAAAAUCUGAAUAAAAUGAAUAAAUACCAUUUUUUAUAUACGUUAUGAUUUAAUUGCGUGCAUAGGCGGCAUUGUGGGAACGAGGGCGGGACGCGCGUUUUUUCUAUUGCUGUGUUUGAUUUUCGGAAGGUGUUUAUUUUUAUAGGUUUUUUGUUUGGAGGCAGUUGGUUUUUUGUUUGGAGAUGGUUUAAUUGCUUUUGUUCAGAGGUGGGACAUUUGGAUGAUUUCUUUUAAGACAAAGGAAGCUGUGAAUUCAGCAAACAAAUAGAUUAGUUUGUGUUUUAAGUAUGAUAUAAUUAGACAUGUUUGUAAAUUUUACCAUGUUUUUGUGUUACUGCUUUUUAGGUUGCAUGUUGACUGCAACAGACUACUAACACAGGUGUUGGAUGCCACAGCUGACACUGCUGUAAAGGUAAUAGACACAUUUUUUACAUACCAUUAAAAUUGUUUAAGCUAAAUCUCUUAGCUACUGAGUGUUAAAUUCUUUUUCUGAAUGAAAACUGAGUUGUCUUGCAACCGGAAUUACAGAGAUAAUGUUGUUAUUGCAAUAUUUUUAUGUUUGUGUUGUAUAGAUUUUUUUUUCUAUUUUCAGAGGGAUCUGCAAUUGGGAGAGCUGAUAGUUUGUUUUCUGUUUUGUACAUAUUUUAAUGUUAUGACAUGUUUUAAAAUCUGAAUAAAUACCAUUUUUUAUAUACGUUAUGAUUUAAUUGCGUGCGUAGGCGGCAUUGUGGGAACGAGGGCAGGACGCG
rnacentral:lncRNA from 1 species